rnacentral:rRNA from 1 species
UACGUAGGGGGCAAGCGUUGUCCGGAUUUAUUGGGCGUAAAGAGCGUGUAGGCGGUUUGGUAGGUCCGCUGUGAAAACUCGAGCUCAACCUCGAGACGCCGGUGGAAACCAUCAGACUAGAGUCCGGAAGAGGAGAGUGGAAUUCCUGGUGUAGCGGUGAAAUGCGCAGAUAUCAGGAAGAACACCCGUGGCUAAGGCGGCUCUCUAGUACGGUACU